rnacentral:rRNA from 1 species
GCUAAGAAUAUUCCGCAAUGGACGAAAGUCUGACGGAGCGACGCCGCGUGGAUGAAGAAGGCCGAAAGGUUGUAAAGUUCUUUUGUUGGGGAAGAAUAACCAUGGGAGGGAAUGCCCGUGGGAUGACAUGAACCGACGAAUAAGCCCCGGCUAACUACGUGCCAGCAGCCGCGGUAACACGUAGGGGGCGAGCGUUGUUCGGAAUUACUGGGCGUAAAGGGCAUGUAGGCGGUCUUGUAAGCUUGGCGUGAAAGACCACGGCUCAAACGUGGGAUUGCGUUGAGAACUGCGAGGCUUGAGUGACGGAGAGGGAGCUAGAAUUCCUGGUGUAGGGGUGGAAUCUGUAGAGAUCAGGAAGAAUACCAAUGGCGAAGGCAAGCUCCUGGCCGAUGACUGACGCUGAGGUGCGAAAGUGUGGGGAUCAAACAGGAUUAGAAACCCUGGUAGUCC